UAUUACACUUUGUUGCUUUGGCAGGCCUGCCCUCGGGCUGCUGGCUCCGGCCGGCGAGCGCCUGCCAGAGGACCUAAACUCUGUUUGUCUAUACUGUCUGAGUACUAUAUAAUAGUUAAAACUUUCAACAACGGAUCUCUUGGUUCUGGCAUCGAUGAAGAACGCAGCGAAAUGCGAUAAGUAAUGUGAAUUGCAGAAUUCAGUGAAUCAUCGAAUCUUUGAACGCACAUUGCGCCCCCUGGUAUUCCGGGGGGCAUGCCUGUCCGAGCGUCAUUACAACCCUCAAGCUCAGCUUGGUGUUGGGCCCCGCCGCCCCGGCGGGCCCUAAAGUCAGUGGCGGUGCCGUCCGGCUCCGAGCGUAGUAAUUCUUCUCGCUCUGGAGGCCCGGUCGCGUGCCCGCCAGCAACCCCCAAUUUCUUUCAGGUUGACCUCGGAUCAGGUAGGGAUACC
rnacentral:rRNA from 1 species